GCCAAGUGUGGUGUCGCGUGCCUGUAAUCCCAGCAGCUCAGGAGGCUGAGGCAGGAGGAUCAUGAGUUCAAAGCCAGCCUCAGCAAAAGCGAGAUGCUAAGCAACUCAGGGAGACCCUGUCUCUA
rnacentral:sRNA from 1 species